CAUUUCAAAGCUGCAGCGAAAGCACUAUAAAAAACAUAUAAAACAAAAAGACUUGGACCUGCUACCUCUGGGAGUUGAACGAUUUCUUCAUUCCAUUUACGCUUGUCACAUGGCUUAUAACAUUCUUCCAAAGGCAUAAUAUUCAACUAAAAAUGUGACAUGAGGUCAUAAUAUCUUGAGUUAAUGCAACACUUUUGUAGUAUACAAUAUAGGUGUUUGUUCUUCAAUUU
rnacentral:lncRNA from 1 species